rnacentral:rRNA from 1 species
GUCCACGCUGUAAACGAUGAAUACUAGGUGUUGGAGGCAUUAGCCUCCAGUGCCGCAGCUAACGCAUUAAGUAUUCCACCUGGGGAGUACGAUCGCAAGGUUGAAACUCAAAGGAAUUGACGGGGGCCCGCACAAGCAGUGGAGCAUGUGGUUUAAUUCGAUGCAACGCGAAGAACCUUACCUAGGCUUGAAAGGCAAGUGACAGGGUGUGAAAGCACCCCUCCAGCAAUGGCACUUGUACAGGUGCUGCAUGGCUGUCGU